CCAACACCCAGCUCUAGGUAAAGACUGCUCUGCAAGGGGAGGGGUUAUACAUGACUUUUAAUUUCUUCUUAUGUGUAUGCUGCAGCAGUCAAAUAAACUAAAAUCACAAGGCUUACACAAAUCUUGGUGAGUUCAUGUCAAAUAAAGCACACGUGAUUGGGUGAAAUGCAUCUCUGCAGGUGGGUUUAUGUAUACCCCACACCACACUGCAUCAAUUUGUAGUAUUCCGAGUUUCCCAUAUUUCUACCAUGCCAGUUAUAUAAUUGCCAUCCCAGCACUAUAUGUUUCCAUCCAGAUUUUCCCAGGCUGUUUCCUAUAGUCUGUGUAUAUAUAUUCUAACCAUGUCCUGUCUGUUUUUUUCAAGUGCUCUCAUAG